ACGCUGGCGGCGUGCCUAAUACAUGCAAGUAGAACGCUGAAGGAGGAGCUUGCUUCUCCGGAUGAGUUGCGAACGGGUGAGUAACGCGUAGGUAACCUGCCUGGUAGCGGGGGAUAACUAUUGGAAACGAUAGCUAAUACCGCAUAAGAGUAGAUGUUGCAUGACAUUUGCUUAAAAGGUGCAAUCGCAUCACUACCAGAUGGACCUGCGUUGUAUUAGCUAGUUGGUGGGGUAACGGCUCACCAAGGCGACGAUACAUAGCCGACCUGAGAGGGUGAUCGGCCACACUGGGACUGAGACACGGCCCAGACUCCCACGGGAGGCAGCAGUAGGGAAUCUUCGGCAAUGGACGGAAGUCUGACCGAGCAACGCCGCGUGAGUGAAGAAGGUUUUCGGAUCGUAAAGCUCUGUUGUAAGAGAAGAACGAGUGUGAGAGUGGAAAGUUCACACUGUGACGGUAUCUUACCAGAAAGGGACGGCUAACUACGUGCCAGCAGCCGCGGUAAUACGUAGGUCCCGAGCGUUGUCCGGAUUUAUUGGGCGUAAAGCGAGCGCAGGCGGUUAGAUAAGUCUGAAGUUAAAGGCUGUGGCUUAACCAUAGUACGCUUUGGAAACUGUUUAACUUGAGUGCAAGAGGGGAGAGUGGAAUUCCAUGUGUAGCGGUGAAAUGCGUAGAUAUAUGGAGGAACACCGGUGGCGAAAGCGGCUCUCUGGCUUGUAACUGACGCUGAGGCUCGAAAGCGUGGGGAGCAAACAGGAUUAGAUACCCUGGUAGUCCACGCCGUAAACGAUGAGUGCUAGGUGUUAGACCCUUUCCGGGGUUUAGUGCCGCAGCUAACGCAUUAAGCACUCCGCCUGGGGAGUACGACCGCAAGGUUGAAACUCAAAGGAAUUGACGGGG
rnacentral:rRNA from 1 species